AAGUCGUAACAAGGUUUCCGUAGGUGAACCUGCGGAAGGAUCAUUAGUGAAUUUGUUUUGUGGUUGGGUGUCUUGCUAAGCUUUUUUUUUACAAGACAUCCCCCAAACACCCCCACUAUUAUCACGCCGGCUGAGGGGGAGCAAUCCUCUGAAGUCGAGAGCCUAGUAAGCUCGGAAAUUUGUGAGAAUUAAGUUUCUCAUUUUUUAGAACCAUAUAGUCAUGUAUGUUAAGUAGUAUUCUUAAAACAAAUACAACUUUCAGCAACGGAUCUCUUGGCUCUC
rnacentral:misc_RNA from 1 species